rnacentral:rRNA from 1 species
AACGAACGCUGGCGGCAGGCUUAACACAUGCAAGUCGAGCGCUGUAGCAAUACAGAGCGGCAGACGGGUGAGUAACGCGUGGGAAUCUACCCAUCUCUACGGAAUAACUCAGGGAAACUUGUGCUAAUACCGUAUACGCCCUUAGGGGGAAAGAUUUAUCGGAGAUGGAUGAGCCCGCGUUGGAUUAGCUAGUUGGUGGGGUAAAGGCCUACCAAGGCGACGAUCCAUAGCUGGUCUGAGAGGAUGAUCAGCCACAUUGGGACUGAGACACGGCCCAAACUCCUACGGGAGGCAGCAGUGGGGAAUAUUGGACAAUGGGCGCAAGCCUGAUCCAGCCAUGCCGCGUGUGUGAUGAAGGCCUUAGGGUUGUAAAGCACUUUUCACCGGAGAAGAUAAUGACGGUAUCCGGAGAAGAAGCCCCGGCUAACUUCGUGCCAGCAGCCG